AAGACCCUGUCCAUCUAGCCAUUGCGAGCACCCUACGUCUUCCCAGUAAGCUCCCAAUAACAUAGGCUGAGCUUCCCAUCCUAGCGCUUGGGUUUUCAGAAAGGGCAGAAGGCCAAGCACAUGGAAAGCUCCAGGCAGCCCAGCAGGAGGAGAGGGCAAAGGCCCUGGGACCCUCCUGAGAAAAUCUGCAGAGGAAACAGGACACAGAGUGGACCACGGCGGCAGGAACGUCAGCUGAGCUCCAAGAGGCUGGAAGCACGGAGCGGGAAAUGGCACUUCCCCUGCGUUUUUAUGUUUAGCUGGGGUUUAAUUAAUAACCGGCAAACAAGUCUAUAAUUAACUCGGUUUCCCUUUUGGCCAGCCAAGGGAAUAAUAAUAAAGCUGCUUUUUAAGUCCUCCGUGUUGCUGGAAGGAUGGGCGGGAGAUCAGGCUGCAAGCAACGCUUGCCCAAUAAUGAGGGCCCUGCAUAGUGUUCAUCGCCCCCUCUCCCCUGCAAAUCGUAUUAUCUAUACCAGAUGUGGCAUUAAAAGAAGAAUUACUGUACUUCGGGGCUCAAAUUAUAUGUGCCUGAUUUAUUGCCCUGACUCAGUUGUAAUGCUACCUUGCAGAACGCUGAUAAAUGAUAGCUUAUUAUUUUGCAAAGCACCCGAGUUGAUGAAGAUAUCAAGGGCAGCAAGGGGCGAACGCUUUCCAGGCUGGGGAUCAUUUGGCUGGCCAUUUUGCACUCCUUCGGGACAUUUAAAAUCUCCUCGCACCCACCCUACCAAACACAUACCCUUUUGGUUAUUUUUAUUUUUAAUCUCUGAAGUGACAUGCCCAAGACCUUGUCUUGGCUUCCAUGAUGCCCAGGCAUCUUGGACAUCAAAGAUGAGGCACCAGUUUUUAAGCGUGCCAUUCACGACCAGCUUCUGACUUCUCUUUCCGGCCUCCCGUUAUUCCCCUUCCUACAUGCUCUGUUCCAAAGUCCUGUGUGACCUAGCCCGUGCCAGCCUCAUUUCUUGUCUGUCUGCCAGAGUGCCUUUCCUCUAGCCCCUUGAACACCCAACACCCUUCUGCCCCAGGACCUUUGUACAUGCUGCUCUCUCUGCCUAGAGCUUUCUCCCCUCCUC